UUUUUUUGUUUGUUUGUUUGUUUGUUUGUUUUUAGGAUUUCUGGCUUAAGAGUAGUGGGAGAAUCGUUUUCUCCAGCAUUGCACUUAAGGUUGGAAAAUAGUUACGGAUCUCGAGAAAAUGAUGUGAAGUUGCUCAAGAGAAUUGUGGAUUAUUGUGUAAAUCGUGGUAUUGCAUUAACUCAGGCCCGCUACCUGGAGAAAGAAGAAAAAUGUCUUCCUUCACCCAGUAUUCGAGUAGUGGUAACAGUGGAACAAACAGAACAAGAACUGGACAAAGCUGCAUCACUUAUAAAGGAAGCUGCAGAGUCUGUACUGAAUUAACCCACAGGUUUGGAUUCCUUUUUCCUCAAAUUGUAAGAAUAAAUGUUUUACACUGUAUAGUGAAUUCCACUUCAGAUAUUAAAGCUUAUCCACCAUAGACAUUAAAGCCUAACUAAUGAGAUUGUUUCAGGAUAGUAAAAAUACAGUGAUAUAUAGAAUACUGAAUUUUGAAAAUGGUGAAUGACGCAAUGUACUUAAAAUUCAAAAUCUACGCUUUAAUAACAUUUGUAAAAAUGGAAUAUUGCUGUUGCAUGCAGAUCUUUUUCACAGGUUUCAUCUUAAAAAGCCUUAAAU